rnacentral:rRNA from 1 species
CCUACGGGAGGCUGCAGUAGGGAAUCUUCCACAAUGGGCGAAAGCCUGAUGGAGCAACGCCGCGUGGGUGAAGAAGGUCUUCGGAUCGUAAAACCCUGUUGUUAGAGAAGAAAGAGCGUGAGAGUAACUGUUCACGUUUCGACGGUAUCUAACCCGAAAGCCACGGCUAACUACGUGCCAGCAGCCGCGGUAAUACGUAGUUGGCAAGCGUUCUCCGGAUUUAUUGGGCGUAAAGGGAACGCAGGCGGUCUUUUAAGUCUGAUGUGAAAGCCUUCGGCUUAACCGGAGUAGUGCAUUGGAAACUGGGAGACGUGAGUGCAGGAGAGGAGAGUGGAACUCCAUGUGUAGCGGUGAAAUGCGUAGAUAUAUGGAAGAACACCAGUGGCGAAAGCGGCUCUCUGGUCUGUAACUGACGCUGAGGUUCGAAAGCGUGGGUAGCAAACAGGAUUAGAUACCCCAGUAGUC